GGGGUGAGCCGCAGCGUGGCCGUGGUCGCCGCCUACCUGAUGAAGACGCAGGGGCUGGGCUGGCAGGAGGCGCUCGCCGCCGUGAGGGCCGCCAAGCCGGACGCGCAGGUGAACCCGGGCUUCCAGGCGCAGCUGAAGCUCUACGAGGCCAUGGGGUGCGCCGUGGACACCAGCAGCGCGCUCUACAAGCGGUACCGGCUGGAGAUGCUCAGCCAGAGGCUCUCCGGAAUGCAGCGUGGCUGAGCUGACCUGAUUCUCAACAUGGUCCUGACCCCUCUGCAGAACCUCAAGACUUGCCCCGAGAAGUCUUUGCAGUUGAUCCUACCACUACAUGUCAAACAUUGAACACAGAGGUUCUCUACAGAUGCAGGAAAUGCAGGUACUUUAUAUAUUGAAAAAACAUGUAUUUUUAUAUAUUUAUAAAAUACUUUCUAUUUCUCCUUAAAACGUCAUUGUGAAAUCUACUCAAGGGUAGAAUAACCAGUGUGAAUCAAUGGGCAUGUCAUUGUUGUCAGGUCAUGGAUGAGCUGAUGCCUAAGUUUCCAUGCUGUGUUUGCAAAAAAAAAAAAUCGAAAGUACAAAAUUUUUGUUCCCUGGAGUGGUGCUUGUGAACCUUCCAGACUAAUAAGAAAAUGUCGGAUUUGUGCUCCUGUUUAAAUAUUCAGAGUCAGGAGGCCCACAUCCUUAUUUUCUGUUGUCUGUAGAUUUGCCCAGUUAAAAAACCCGUUUGUUUUACUUCUUUUUUCCCAUGUCCCGGAGGGCAGACGUGCCCUGCUCCGUAGCUCCAGCAUUUUGUCCCAUACGGAAGGAGUGGGACCGACAGCCUUUGCCCACAAGAGGCUAACAGAGUCUGCACGGCUUUCUGGGAACGGCCAGGAGAAGUGCACCUCCUACUUCAUCGAGCCAGUGCAGUGGAUGGAGCCGGCAUUGCUCGGAGUAAUGGAAGGACAGCUUCUGUGUCCCAAAUGCUCAUCAAAGCUGGGCUCCUUCAGCUGGAGGGGGGACCAGUGUUCCUGCGGCCGCUGGGUGACACCGGCCUUCCAGAUCCACAAAAGUCGAGUGGAUGAAGUGAGGACAUUGCCUGUUGGUAACUUCCAGACUGCCAAAACCUGAACUCAUUGCUUCACUUCGUGGAUUUCGUAACAUCUGCUGAGAACUAUUAGUCCAUGGUUGCCAGGAAAUGAGUUUAUGAUUUCCAACCCUUUGUGAGGUGGCUGAAUUACUUGAACACCUUCAGCUUGAUGUGUCUCUUAAUAUAUUCUAUGAAAUACCAGAACACUUUCUUCAAAGAGGUGUUACAGAGUGGUCAAAUCUAAAAAUGGGCCAAAUGUGAUGUUUUUAGUGUAUUCUUCAUUUAUGUGUUGCUGUUCACAGAAGGUCUCAACUCCUUAUUCAAAAGGAGUUGCUGUGGGCAGUAGUGCUGCUCAGCUUCUGAUCCAAAGUGCCAAGUGCCCUCAAAUAGUACAAUUACAGGUGUUUGCAUGCGUGGCAGCAAAAGGCAAACUUAGUUACACUUUUAUUCUGUUAAAGUACUGCUAAAAAUACCUGCCCCAAGAGUAUUUACUACUUGUAACUCUUUCAUGUAACGCGUGAGGAGAUCGUGCAAGCUGUAAUGGAAUGGGAGAACUGAAGUAAAGAGUCCAUGCCAAAUAA